AGAGAGGAAAGGUUCAUCAGUGAAGGUCUAUCAGUGAAGGUCUAUCAGUGAAGGUCUAUCAGUGAAGGUCUACCAGUGAAGGUCUACCAGUGAAGGUCUAUCAGUGAAGGUCUAUCAGUGAAGGUCUACCAGUGAAGGUCUAUCAGUGAAGGUCUAUCAGUGAAGGUCUACCAGUGAAGGUCUAUCAGUGAAGGUCUAUCAGUGAAGGUUCAUCAGUGAAGGUCUAUCAGUGAAGGUUCAUCAGUGAAGGUCUAUCAGUGAAGGUCUGCCAGUGAAGGUCUACCAGUGAAGGUCUACCAGUGAAGGUCUAUCAGUGAAGGUCUAUCAGUGAAGGUCUACCAGUGAAGGUCUAUCAGUGAAGGUCUAUCAGUGAAGGUUCAUCAGUGAAGGUCUAUCAGUGAAGGUCUACCAGUGAAGGUCUAUCAGUGAAGGUCUAUCAGUGAAGGUUCAUCAGUGAAGGUCUAUCAGUGAAGGUUCAUCAGUGAAGGUCUAUCAGUGAAGGUCUACCAGUGAAGGUCUACCAGUGAAGGUCUAUCAGUGAAGGUCUAUCAGUGAAGGUCUACCAGUGAAGGUCUAUCAGUGAAGGUCUACCAGUGAAGGUCUAUCAGUGAAGGUCUAUCAGUGAAGGUCUACCAGUGAAGGUCUAUCAGUGAAGGUCUAUCAGUGAAGGUUCAUCAUAAACGAAGCUAAAACAGCACAGAGACAAAUGGAAACAGUCAAGUGUUCUGUUGCUGCCCAUUAAUAAACACAAAAGAUCACAUAUUCUCAAUAAAGUGUUGCUUGUUUACUAAUGUUGAUGUGAUCUUAAAUUGUAGUAAUAACUUCAGUGUUUUCAGAACCAGUAGAAAUGAGCAGAACCAAGAUCCAUCCAUCCAUCCUCUAUACACCGCUUUAUCCUCACUGGGGUCAUGGGGGGUGCUGGAGUCUAUCCCAGCUGACUCGGGUGAAGGCAGGUGACACCCUGGACAGGUCACCAGUCUGUCACAGGGCUACAUAUACAGACACACAAUCACACUCACAUUCACACCUACGGACAAUUUAGAGUAACCAAUUAACCUCAGCAUGUUUUUGGACUGUGGGAGGAAGCCGGAGUACCCGGAAAAAACCCACGCAUGCACAGGGAGAACAUGCAAACUCCAUGCAGGAAGAUCCCAGGCCCAGGCCGGGAUUUGAACCAGGGAUCUUCUAGCUGCAAGGUGAAAGUGCUAACCACUACGCCACUGAGCAGCCCCCAGAACCAAGAUACCAGUCAUUUUACACCAACUUUCUCCUUUGAGUCUGGAAACCU